rnacentral:rRNA from 1 species
AUGCAGCUGGACGAUGUGUGUUGCAGGACCACAGAUAGUGCAUGCAUUGGUGGUAAUCUGCUUCUAUUUUCUGUAUGGAGCUGGGAGCGUCUGACUGUUGGAAGCCCGAAGAGCGUCAAGUUUAAUCCUUGGGAUGAAGAUGACGAAUUACGGCGCCCCACUUGGGCUUACAAGUGGGAUGUGGUAUCCGAGAUGACGAAUGAUGUCAAUUUCAUGUACCAAAAGUACAUCACCGAGUUGGACAUGAUUAUGACUAAGCAGGUAAUGAGGACAUUACAUCAUUCAUUUCUCAUGCUUGCCUAA